UAUGAAGGGGGCUAGCGUUGUUCGGAAUCACUGGGCGUAAAGCGCACGUAGGCGGAUCGUUAAGUCGGGGGUGAAAUCCCAGGGCUCAACCCUGGAACUGCCUUCGAUACUGGCGAUCUUCGAGUCCGGGAGAGGUGAGUGGAACUCCGAGUGUAGAGGUGAAAUUCGUAGAUAUUCGGAAGAACACCAGUGGCGAAGGCGGCUCACUGGCCCGGUACUGACGCUGAGGUGCGAAAGCGUGGGGAGCAAACAGG
rnacentral:rRNA from 1 species